rnacentral:rRNA from 1 species
AUGGAGAGGAGAGCGGCGAGGGGCACCUCUGAUCACCGUAGGCGAAUGCAGAUGCCGCCGGCGCCGGUGGGGCAGAAGCAGCAGCAGCCGCAGCGCCGCGGGGGGCCGAAGAGCUGCCAGAGAACGCCGCCGCCGCCGGGCUGCUUCACCAUCCAGCUGCUCAUGGUGUUCCUCUGGGUGGCCGCGUCGCUCGCCUUCCUGCCCCUCGUGCUCCCGCCGCUGCCCCCGCCGCCGCUCUCGCUGCUGCUCGUGCCCGUCUGCCUGCUCGCCGUCCUCGCCGCGCUGGCCUUCGUCCCGCUCGACGCCCACAACAACGUCGUCGUCGGCGGCUCGUCUUGUUUGUAG